GCCCUCUGCCUCAUCCUAGCCAGCAGGCCCUCUCUCUCUCUCUGUCUGUGUGUGUGUGUGUGCGUGUGUGUGUGUGUGUGUGCUGGGCUUGAUUGCAGGAGUGGACUCAGGUGUGCAGGGGUUGUGCUGCAGCUGCAAACCAUCAUCAAUCUACUCUUCUACAAAUACUGGUCUUCAAUUUCACCACGCUGCCAGAUCAUAGACUCUGUUCCCACACAGCACUCGGCCCAAUUCCUGCCUCCAUUCCACUCCUGCCUAGCACACCUCUCUGGAUCUCUGGACACAGCUCUGGAUCUCGGGACUCAGCACACAGUCUCCUUCCCCCCUCCUCUGCCAGCAAACUCACCUGCCUUGCUCUACCCAGUUCUCGCCAUCACAAAAUUAAGUAUUGUAAAUAAAUUAUUUCUUUGCAUCCAU